rnacentral:rRNA from 1 species
ACGUAGGUGACAAGCGUUGUCCGGAUUUACUGGGUGUAAAGGGCGCGUAGGCGGAUAUGCAAGUCAGUCGUGAAAUACCGGGGCUCAACCCCGGGGCUGCGAUUGAAACUGUAUACCUUGAGUAUCGGAGAGGAAAGCGGAAUUCCUAGUGUAGCGGUGAAAUGCGUAGAUAUUAGGAGGAACACCAGUGGCGAAGGCGGCUUUCUGGACGACAACUGACGCUGAGGCGCGAAAGUGUGGGGAGCAAACAG